rnacentral:rRNA from 1 species
CGCAUCUGUGCAUGCAGCAUAUCAAUAAGCGGAGGAAAAGAAACUAACAAGGAUUCCCCUAGUAACGGCGAGUGAAGCGGGAAGAGCUCAAAUUUGAAAUCUUAAAGGGUUUCCCUUUACGAAUUGUAGUUUAAAGAAGUGUUUUCUGUUGAGGUUUUGGUAAAAGUUCUUUGGAAUAGGACAUCAUAGAGGGUGAGAAUCCCGUAUUUGACCUUUACUUUCAACUUUGUGAUACACUUUCAAAGAGUCGGAUUGUUUGGGAAUGCAGUCCAAAAUGGGUGGUAAAUUUCAUCUAAAGCUAAAUAUUGGCGAGAGACCGAUAGCGAACAAGUACCGUGAGGGAAAGGAUGAAAAGAACUUUGAAAAGAGAGUUAAACAGUACGUGAAAUUGUCAAAAGGGAAGCGUUUGACACCAGUGUUGUUUUUCUGAAAAUCAAUUAAAGAACUGUUUAUGCUAAGCUGUUUAGACUUUAUCAGCUAACUGUCUAGUUUUGAGCUUUUCUUUAAUGCACUUUUCAGUUAACAAGUCAACAUCAAUUUCUUUUGCUGUAAAAAAGCUUGAGGAAGGUGGCUUGAGAUUCGUCUUAAGUGUUUAUAGCCUCUUGCCUACGCAGUCGGAGAGAUUGAGGUCUGCAGCGUAGAUCCUUCGGGGCUAAAUGCAUUUGUGCUAAGUUAUAGCAUUUUAUAGACAACUUGUUGACUAUGAUUUGUCUUGUAGCUUACUCGCUUAUGUUAUUUUACCUACGCUUAGGAUGUUGACAGCAGUAUAGACUGU